ACUAAAAAUACAAAAUUAGUUGGGCAUGGUGGCACACGCCUGCAGUCCCAGCUACUCGAGAGGCUAAGGCAGGAGAAUUGCUUGAACUCAGGAGGUGGAGGUUGCAGUGAGUGCAAAUCAUGUCACUGCACUCCAGCCUGGGCGAUGGAACGAGACUCCGUCUCAAAAAAGAAAAAAAAAAUUAUGCCUGUGAGUUAGUGCCCAUCAUUAUCCCCAGCCCACUCCAGAUGAGAACACUGAGGCACAGGGGAUGGAGGUAACUCGCCCCAGGUCACAUGGCUAGUAGGGCAGCCUGUCUCCAGCACUAGUGCUCUGGAAAAUGAGAACUUUCAGGCUGCCUGGAGUUGGGUGGCCGCAUAGACUUGAGGGAUGAGGGGCUUCGGAGGGGAGCACUUGGAGCUGGCUGACUUCUUAGGGCAGUUAGACCUUGGUGUGUCUGUGUGCUGGGUGUGUAUGUGUCUGUGUGUAUCUGUAUACGUGUGUCUGUGUGCUGUGUGUGUGUGCUGGGAGGGUGUGUCUGUGUAUGUAUUUGCAUGUUUCUGUACUAGGUGUGUGUGUGUGUACGUAUCUGUGUCUGUAUGCUAUGAGUGUGUCUCCGUGUGUGUGUGGGGGGUGUGAAUGUGCCUGUGUACUAGGUGUAUGUGUGUCUAUAUGUGUGUGUGUGUGUGCUGGGUGUAUGUGUGUCUGUGUGUCUGUGCUAGGGGUGUGUGUGCGCGCGCUAGGUGUGUGUGUCUGUGUAUGUGUCUGCAUGUGUGCCUGAGUGCAGGGUGUAUGUGCAUAUGUGUGUGUGUGUGUAUCUGUGUGCUCGGUGUGUGUGUCUAUGUAUCUGCAUGUGUGCCUGAGUGCUGGGUGUAUAUGUGUGUGUCUGUGUAUGUAUCUGUGUGCUAGGUGUGUGUGUCUGUGCAUGUAUCCGCACGUAUGCCUGAGU
rnacentral:lncRNA from 10 species